GGUGAACGCUGGCGGCGCGCUUAACACAUGCAAGUCGUGCGCGAAAGGCUGAACCGCAAGGGGAGGCCCAGUAGAGCGGCAAACGGGUGAGUAACACGUAGCUUAUCUGUCUCCGCGACGGGGAUAACAACCCGAGAGGGCUGCUAAUACCCGAUAUGCUCACAGAGAUUCGUCUGUGUGAGGAAAGCUCCCGCAAGGGAGCACGCGGAGAGGGGGCUGCGGCCUAUCAGCUUGUUGGCGGGUAAAAGCCCACCAAGGCGACGACGGGUAGGGGCGUGAGAGCGUGGCCCCCACAUGGGGACUGAGACACGGCCCUGACUCUUACGGGAGGCAGCAUG
rnacentral:rRNA from 1 species